rnacentral:rRNA from 1 species
UACGUAGGCAGCAAGCGUUGUUCGGAAUUACUGGGCGUAAAGAGUGUGUAGGCGGUGCUCUAAGUCUGUCGUGAAAUCUCCCGGCUUAACUGGGAGGGUGCGGCGGAUACUAUUGUGCUAGAGGGUGGGAGAGGUAAGCGGAAUUCCUGGUGUAGCGGUGAAAUGCGUAGAUAUCAGGAGGAACACCUGCGGUGUAGACAGCUUACUGGACCACUUCUGACGCUGAGACACGAAAGCGUGGGUAGCAAACAGG